rnacentral:rRNA from 1 species
AAUCAACGCUGGCGGCGUGCCUCAGACAUGCAAGUCGAACGCGAAAGGUUCCUUCGGGGACCGAGUAGAGUGGCGCACGGGUGAGUAACACGUAGUUAAUUUGCCUUUGGGUGGGGAAUAACUCAGGGAAACUUGAGCUAAUACCGCAUAAUGCAGCGGCUCGACAUCGAGACAGUUGUUAAAGCGGGGGAUUCGCAAGAACCUCGCGCCUAAAGAAGAAGCCUGCGGCAGAUAGCUAGUUGGUAAGGUAAAUGGCUUACCAAGGCGACCGAUCUGUAACCGGCCUGAGAGGGCGGUCGGUCACACUGACACUGACAUACGGGUCAGACUCCUACGGG